AGAUCUUUUAUGUAUAUAUGUGUUUGUUUGCUUUAAAUUAUAAAAAAAAAAUUAUUUGAAAUUCUGUUGUAAAUUUAUUCAAAUUUGAUUGCAUCUAGAUGAAAUAGUUUACCAUAUACACCUAGCUAUGUAAGUGAAAAAUUCUGUAAUUACUUUUGUUUAUAUUAAAUGGUCAGUGACUGGGUCACGUUUGUAAUAGUUGUUUUGCAAUUGAUGGCAUACAAUAUCAGUUUGUUUUUAUUUUAAGUUAUAUGUCUAUAUCUAUUGCAUUGAUAUGACAGCUUUAAGGUGAUGUUUACACACAGAAUCUAAUCUGAGAUGAUUGUUCACAGAUUGAGGUGUGCAUUAAUUUGGUAGACAUAAAAAAAUAUAUAUAAAAAUG
rnacentral:sRNA from 1 species